ACCGAAUAGAUACCCUGGUAGUCCACGCCGUAAACUAUGGAUGCUAGCUGUUGGAGGUAUCGACCCCUUCAGUAGCGAAAGCUAACGCGUUAAGCAUCCCGCCUGUGGAGUACGAGCGCAAGCUUAAAACAUAAAGGAAUUGACGGGGACCCGCACAAGCGGUGGAUCGUGUUCUUUAAUUCGAGGCUAAACGAAGAACCUUACCAGGGCUUGACAUCCCUUGAAUUACUCCGAAAGGAGUGAGUGCUUUAUCGAACAAGGUGACAGGUGUUGCAUGGCCGUCGUCAGCUCGUGUCGUGAGAUGUUUGGUUAAGUCCAUCAACGAGCGCAACCCUUGUGAAUAGUUGUAUUUUUCUAUUCAGACUGCCCCGGCAACGGGGAGGAAGGAGGGGAUGAUGUCAGGUCAGUAUUACCCUUACGUCCUGGGCUAGAAACACGAUACAAUGGUUAGUACAAUGCGCAGCAAAGCCGCGAGGUGGAGCAAAUCGCAUCAAAGCUAAUCUCAGUUCGGAUUGGAGGCUGAAACUCGCCUCC
rnacentral:rRNA from 1 species